GGGCUUGUCACUUCAUUGUCCAUUGAGUGAGAUUAUUUCCCUAUUAUUUGCUUUAUCCACAUGAUUGCUUCCCCCGAAACUUUCCUGGAAAAACUUGUUCUAUCUAUAUUGCCUCCCACUAUGUUUCAUCAUUGACAUUCAGUCAUUCCUAUCCUGCUCUGCAACCACCACCCUUUUAGUGGUGCUGACAGAACUGCUUGUGGAUUUGCUGCAAACCCGGUUGCUGAAAUGGCUCCAUGGACUGUUACGUGGCGCAAUCGAGGGCAUGCAAAACUGUGGUGUGGCAGAGAAAUAAACAGCUCUGGAGAGCAGCAAAUGAGAACUUCUGAACCAGCUUUGCCAAGAAGAAAAUGUGUUGUGAACUACAUCCGUAAGCAUUGCUAAUAUAAGCAUUCCCAUGUGCACAUGGCUGCAUAAGUCAUGAAAAAUGCUUUUGUCCAAGGAGCACGCAGCGUACAAGAGACAUUUUGGGGGGCCAGGAGAGGUGAAAGAAGUCGCAUAUAGACUUGGAGAAGACGACAAGGCAGAACAUCGACUAGUUUGGCUGGCAUGGGACUUCAGUUUCCUGCCUCAAAUUCCUACCUUUGCACAUGUCCUGGGAGGAUGAGCAUAUCGAAGAUUGCGAGGUUCUUUAUUAUGUUACAGGCAGCCAUGAAACAUAUCAUUUCCUUGGACUGUUUUCCAUCAAUCAGAGUAAAACAAGUAAACAAACUGAAGAUGGAGCAUUGCUACCAGAAGCCCUGCUCUUCAGCAAAGAAAACUCACUGGUCCUGAGCCCCAGACACAGCUGAAAUUCUUCGCUGACUUUGACUUUCACAGAGUGACAAGAGCAGAGAACUUGUCUCGGUCUCUUCUACUCUACUCCAGAUAAUCACACGAUUUUAAUUCCCCUUCUUCCUGUUCAUGCUUUAGUAUGAGCUGUGGAACUUCAAGUAUUUACCUUGAAGUGCCCAGGUGAAAAAAAAUGGUAUCACUGACUUUUUAUAGACACUUGCCUUGCAAGGGGAUGUCUGUGGAAAGUACAGUAGGAACCUGUUCUCCGAGGUAAGAAUUGCACUUUGAAAUCAAAGGCAUUAAACUUUGGCUUGUCAUCUGUCAGAGCAAGAUUUUGUACUUUUUAACAACCGGACUCAUUGCUAAACACACAUAAUCCUGAAAUAUAAUCUUUAAUUGUGAUUUAUGAUUACGAUCAGAUUUAUUGUAUCAAGCUGCUGUUGUACAGCCCCUUGAAGGGGUGGGGCUAAGAAGGUGGGGCUGUGAACAUCCUGGGAAGGGGAGAACUGAGGUGGUAUUGCAUAGUUUCUUCUAAAAGCUUUUUCAUUUCAAAGCCAGUUAAAAGAAAUAAUACCCCAAAAAAUCCCACACCAACCUUCACAUAACCAAAUCCCAUGUAAUGUUUAGUUGUCUAAUAGCAGUAGAUAAUAAAAGGAAGAAAGCUGAGCAAAAAAGAGCCUGUAGGAGCCAGAAAAAGAAGGCACAGAUUCAAGUUUUAACUGUGGGAACAAAAAAGUUUUCAGAGUGACUGUCAGCUUCCCCAGAUGAGAAAUGCACAGACUGUAAAUGUUAACAAUGCUGGGAAAUCGAAUGGAUCUUUCACCCCUUCCCCUCACUCACAGAGGGCAUUGUGAUAAGGUGGGAUUACUACAGAUAUUUUACAAAAUAAAUUUUUCAACGCCUCAGCCUCAGACUGUGGUUUGCAGCUGCCAAAGGUCUGGAUCGUAUUCAGGAGAUUGUAGGAAGUCAUGCAAAACAAAUGAGAAAAAGGAAAACAAAUGUUUUUCCAACAUA